rnacentral:rRNA from 1 species
GCAACGAGCGCAACCCUUGUCUUUAGUUGCCAUCAUUAAGUUGGGGCACUCUAAAGAGACUGCCGAUGACAAAUCGGAGGAAGGUGGGGAUGACGUCAAAUCAUCAUGCCCUUUAUGUCCUGGGCUACACACGUGCUACAAUGGUCGGUACAACGAGAAGCAAGCCAGCGAUGGCAAGCAAAUCUCUAAAAGCCGAUCCCAGUUCGGAUUGCAGGCUGCAACUCGCCUGCAUGAAGUCGGAGUUGCUAGUAAUCGCGGAUCAGAAUGCCGCGGUGAAUGCGUUCCCGGGUCUU